GUUAUUCUGCCAGCCCACAAGAGUCUUGAGAGCUCAAAGGCCCAUCUCUGGGAGGAUACCGAUGGAAGUGUGUCAUGAGGAUCUUAUCACUCAUCUGAGCUCUGCAUGUCACUCAGGCUCCAUACUCGGCUUCCUCUGUUCUGAUGUACAGUGAUAACCCAGGGCAAGGGGUUUCCAGAAAGACAGCACAUACUCUGGCUCAGCAAGUUACUUAAUCUCACUCAACUGGCCCAGCAGCUGGAUUCACGCAAGUCAGGUGGCCUGGAACUGAUCCUCUCUGGUUGUAGAAUUAAAAAUCUGGCAAGGAUUGGAAAGAUAGUUUACUUAAUAGGGCCUCAAGUAUAGGAAAGCAAUUGAAGGGUGAUUGCAGUGAUAGAAUCACUUGAGAGAGGGAGGUAGGGAAACUGUAAGUUACUAUAAAGUUGUGACCUUAUUUUAAACUAGAAAACUUAGUGGUCUCUUAUGUCUUUUGACUUUCAAGCAUUCCUGUGAGAGGGCUGGCAUAAAUGAUUGUUAAUGCUGUUGAUGGGAAAUUUAAAGUAGGAGGAAUCUGCCUACUGGCUUUUAAGAAAAGGUGAUUUCCUGCAAGAUGACCUAAUUGGUUAGGAAACAGAUAAGUGAACCUUCUCUAUGUUCACUUUAAGAGGAAGUUCUAAAAAUUGAGGUGCUCACUCCCUCUCUCUCCUUUUUGAUGAUUGUGAUAUUUAGACCUGCCAAAGCAGUAUAACUUCAUUGUCUGGAAUUUGGUUAAUUCCAAUGCAAAUACAAAAAUCAAAUACGUGAACUGAGCUUUGAAAAUAUUUUCAUUUUUGAGGAUUUUCAUUGUUAUGGGAUUGAGCCUGUAGAAGUCUCUGUGUAAGCUACAUAGAGCAAAUCUAAUCUACUCACACUGAAGUCAGGGCUCUGUAAAAGACUGUGGGAACAUUCAUUCUCCACUCUCUCAGAGACUCUUUUAGAUGGCACUGGCUGAGGCAGAAUGAAUACAGCUGCUGAUUCUGAUCUCACACUGGGUAUAUCCCUGAGUGCUGGAAAAAACAUCACCCUCAGAAGUGUGCAUUCAGCCAGCUGCCUUUGGAGAGAGCUGGGAAGGGUGCAAAGUGGCAUGUCCUUUACCAGUCACUCUUUCUGGGCCAAUGCUUAUCCAGAAAUGAGACAGAACUAUGGGUUUACUGCAAAUGACCAGCAUCCGCAAAGUGAUCAAGACUACCAACUUUGGUGUUCACUCUGCAAUGAAAAAAUGAACCAGCAGAAGGUGAAUGUGAAAGACUAAGAAGAGCCCUGCAGAAAACCCGUUAGCCCAUGUUUUCAUCUGUAAUGUGGAUGUGGGAUAGGAAGAGGGACAACGACAUAGUACCGACCAGGUUCCAGAAACUAUUCCAAGUGCUUUACGUGAUAAAAAUCUCUUAAUUGUCUCAACGACCAUACGAAGUAUAUCUCUAGUGUUGCCCCUAUUUUAUAGAUGACAAAACCUUACUGAUAUCUGUAUAGCUAGUAAGUAGGAGAGACAGGAUUCAAUCUGUCAGCCCAACUCUGCCGGUGCCCGUGUCCCUGCUCUGUGAUCCUGACAGGCAGCCACAGCCAGGAGUCCGUCCUUGUUUUAGAUAUUUCCCAUGUCUGCUGCUCAACUAGACCCUAACGGUGGAUUCUUGGUACAUCCUUACCCAAGGAUAACCCAUAAGUUUUCAUGACAUUACCACGGACUCGUCUUGCUUGUGAAACCAAGUAAUAGUAAAAACAGAAGAAUCAUGUGUUAAAAAUUUUUUGAAGUAAAUGAUUCUGUCAUCAUUAUUCUUAAAGAAAGUGAUGUACCCAAGGUCACACACUUAGUCACUGGUCAGUCCUGGGGCAAACACCCCUUGAUGUCCAGCCCUUGAGUCAGGAUGAUUGCUUCAUCUAGAAGGCACCAUGGGCACUCUGCCUGAAUCCAGGAACCUCUGGAGUUGUAUAUGGCUCUGUCCAAGACAAAGGAAUCCGCUGUACCAGAUCCACAGAAGCCCUGGCUCUAAAUUAAAAACAGCACAACAACAACAUUGCAGCAACAACAAAAUAGUAAUACAAUAAAAGGUGGGAAGACCUCGAGAGCAUAAAAAUUUCCUUAAACUGAUCAUCAAGGAAAGGAAAGGGAGGAUUCCUUCUUUAAAGAGGCAAGUGCCUGCCAGCAGGAACCUAAAACUCAUUAUUAUUCUGUAUUUUCUUUUUUCAUGACUAAAAAGUUUUUCUAUCCUCCCCCUUCCUAUCCCUAUCAAAAGACUACCCCCUCCACAAGACAAUCACAAACUUUAAAAGUAGCAAGCCCUCACUUCAAACAAAAUGUAAAAAUAAAAAUUCAAAAACCCAUAGUGUUUGCAAAACAGCUUUGUAUGGAGGAAGGGCAAAUCUUAUCUUAAGAGAGGCUAAUUUCAUAGGAAUCGGGCAAAGAGAGGAGAGGUAGAAAGGGUGGGAGCACAGAAGAAGGGGAGGCGGGAGAGGAGGGGAUAAAGGAGGAAGAAUCGCUGGCUUUAAAAAGCAACAUUGUCCAGAGAGGUGAAAG
rnacentral:lncRNA from 10 species